CUGGGCCAGGCUGGGCUAUGGCUUGUAGUCACAAGGCAUUUAAGAAUCACAGCAUUCACCAAGGAUGUCUCCAAACCUUCUCACACAGAACAACGAAGAAAAUGGAAAGGGCCGCUGUAAGAGGUAGAGACUGGGCAAUGAGCUGUUUCCACUCACUAGAUAACUGACUCUCAGCCACAACUACUUUGCAGUUCAGUGACUGAAAUUCAUGCCUCGGCAAAACUUUGCACUCUGCCUCAUAGAAUGGACUUCUGGAUCAUGCUGAAGUGGCUUAGACUUGUUUACCGAUGCAUUUCCCGGGCGUACUUACUGUAUCACUUCAGCGUCUCUGCACUCGAGCCUCAGAGAUCAAGAAACGGCUGAGAAAUGCAAUAACAAAUAAAGGCUCUUCCAUCUGGCAGGCAUAAGCAUAAACGAGACGUGAGCCCAGAGUCUCAAUAAAGAAGGGAUCAUCAUCAAUCCACGCUCCACGCAGAGCCCCAAGACAACAGCAGAAUUGCUCUGUGCAUCCUGGUUUACGGAACCAUAGAAACUUUUGAAUCUGAAUCAACAUACAAAGAAUAAAAGAACAGCUGAAGUCUGUCCUCCUAAAAAGAUGACUAUUGCUUAAUUCUGCUUUUCUGUCAUUUACUCCCACACCUCAGAAGCUUCUGAGAGCACUUUUGAAGUGCUUUUUUGAACCUGCAGACCACAAACCAACGUCUGUGGCUAGGCAACACCCACUAUCCAUUAUCUGAUGAUUUGGGAAGAAGUGAAAACUUUGCCAACAUUUGGUGAUUUAUACUUUCCAAGAGGAGUUGAAAAUAGAAAAUGUAGACAUUUUCAAACCAUAGAACUUGGCAAAUUCCACUCACACUGAUCGUCUCUGAAGAUUGAAUGUGAUCCCUGCCCCUCUCCACGUGGAGAACUGUCACAGCUCCAGGGCAAUGAUUUUUGCCUGAAUUCAACAGCUCUGCGAAGCUCUAGAGAAGACAAACAAGAAAGGAACCAAAAGGAAGUCCUGAACCCUGAUCUACAUUAAGCUGACUCAACGAAAUAAAUAGCAAGACUCAACUGCUACACUUCACGAUGUAGGGGGAUGCGUCCGUUUUAUUGCUAUGAUAAAUUCCGACCGGAAGGUGACAGAAUAUUGGCAUUUCAAUCAAGGCAGCUUCAUAUAGACACACACACAUGCAAGCACACACUCUCACAUACACGUUUCCUGCCCAGCCCACUCAGCUCUGUGUGUUGAAAGCUUUAUGAUAGGAAAGCCUGGAGGAUGUCCACAGACCACUGACAAGAUUCAAAGGGUUGGAAUUUUACAAAUCUUUAUAAAAGAACCAGGAGUCCUUGCCAAUGGGAAUUUGAAAUAUGUCCCUCCACUCCUCUGGCUGUACAGAAGAAAAAAAUCAUAAACAACUUGCAGAGAAUAUAAUUCCCACGGAACACAUCACCCUCAAGCUAAACACUCACUGUCCUUUCUUCUUCUUUAAGAACUAGGAAUCAGUGACAUUACUGUGGUAAUACAGAUCUGCCUGGCACCUUCAAUCACUUGGUAAAUUAUAAAACAGGGCUUCGUCACUUCAACUACUGAAAUAAGGAGGCAAGCCAGCAUUACCAAAUAAGCACGUGCAGUGCAGGGGUGUAUGAAAUGGGGCAAUAUUUCAAGCGCUUGGGAAGUGACAAAUUUUAUGUUGAGCCACAUCCACUGCAGGGCAUCAUAUGAUAUUUCUUCAGGUGCAGACAUUGCAUGAGGGUAAACCAUUCUGUGCACAUUUGUAAAGUAUUUCUAUUCCAUCAGCUUUCCUGCCUGUAGGAAAAUAAUAGUGGUCCUAUGCACUUAUGCCAGAUGAGUUUUAUAAUGGAAGCCACAGCCUGUUUCUAAGUAAAUUAUUAAAUCACCAGCUCUUUAAUGAAAUGGAAUUGUCUGCACUGAUCUUCCAGAUAAAAAAUGCUCUUUUGUAGAAAAAGACUGUCCCAGAAUAGAAGAAUUAAUUCAUCCACAUGCUUCAGAAGAUUGUGGAAAGUGAAGUAAAAACCAACAUUUAUUGAGCAAAAUGCCAGACACUGAGGCACUUACUAUGUGAUUUCACUAAAUCCUAAUAUUAACUUACAAGGAAAGAAAAACCACCCCCAUACCAGACAUGAGAUAGUCAAAGAGGCUAAAACAUUUGCACAGAAACACAAUGCUCAUCUUGCCCUGGCUUUUCAAACCAAAAUUAAAUGUAGUCUUAAUAAGUAAGUCACCGGUCAACUAAUGUGUGCUACUGUCAAUAUGUAUUCGUUCAUAUGGACUAUUUGCUCUCAUAUAAUUGCUGUUAGUGAUCACAAGUAUGGUCAGAACAAAUUUUUUAAAAGAGUUGAGUAGAGUGGGAAGCUAAGGAUCUCUAAUUCAUCCUUCCAUUUGUUCAUUUAUUCAUUCAACAAACAUUUAUUGAGUGCCUAUGAGUCAUGUACUGUUCUAGACAUUGAGGAUAUAGCAGUAAACAAAACAUACAGCAUCUCUAGUCUCAUAGAUCUAUAUUUUAAUCGUAUUAAAUCAUAUAUUUACCAUGGUGAAACCUGCAAAACACUACGUUAACAUUACCAGUAUGAUGGUUAACAUUACCAGUAUGUCAUGUGGAUGUCAUUUACCCCCUGAAAUGAUGUGAUAAAAAGGGUACUUCACCUCUCUGGUAUUCUUUCUAAAAAAAAAUAACUCCAGUCUAAUUACAGGAAAAAGAGCAGGCAAGCUCAUAUUGGGGACAUUCUACAGGAGAGCUUGCCAGUACUCAACAGGGCUGUCAAGGUCACGAAAAACAAGUACAUUUAUAAACACGUGGAAACUAAACAACAUACUCCUUAACAACCAAAAGGUAAAAGAAUAAAUCGAAAGGGAAAUUUUAAAAUAUCUCAAAACUGAUGAAGAUAGAAAUACAACAUACCAAAACCUAUGGGAUGCUGCAAAAGUAAUUCUUAGAGGGAAGUUUAUAGCAAUAA